AUUGAACGCUGGCGGCAGGCCUAACACAUGCAAGUCGAGCGGAUGAAGGGAGCUUGCUCCUGGAUUCAGCGGCGGACGGGUGGGUAAUGCCUAGGAAUCUGCCUGGUAGUGGGGGAUAACGUCCGGAAACGGGCGCUAAUACCGCAUACGUCCUGAGGGAGAAAGUGGGGGAUCUUCGGACCUCACGCUAUCAGAUGAGCCUAGGUCGGAUUAGCUAGUUGGUGGGGUAAGGGCCUACCAAGGCGACGAUCCGUAACUGGUCUGAGAGGAUGAUCAGUCACACUGGAACUGAGACACGGUCCAGACUCCUACGGGAGGCAGCAGUGGGGAAUAUUGGACAAUGGGCGAAAGCCUGAUCCAGCCAUGCCGCGUGUGUGAAGAAGGUCUUCGGAUUGUAAAGCACUUUAAGUUGGGAGGAAGGGCAGUAAGUUAACACCUUGCUGUUUUGACGUUACCAACAGAAUAAGCACCGGCUAACUUCGUG
rnacentral:rRNA from 1 species